rnacentral:tRNA from 1 species
GCCGGAGUGGUGAAACUGGUAGACGCAGGGGACUCAAAAUCCCCCUUUCCUUGCGAAAGUGUCGGUUCGAUUCCGACCUCCGGCACCA